rnacentral:rRNA from 1 species
UUUACACAUGCAAGUCGAACGGCAGCGCGGACUUCGGUCUGGCGGCGAGUGGCGAACGGGUGAGUAACGCGUAGGAACCUACCAAGUAGUGGGGGAUAACAGCUGGAAACGGCUGCUAAUACCGCAUACGCCCUUCGGGGGAAAGAUUUAUCGCUAUUUGAGGGUCCUGCGUUCGAUUAGCUUGUUGGCGGGGUAACGGCCCACCAAGGCGACGAUCGAUAGCUGGUCUGAGAGGAUGAUCAGCCACACUGGGACUGAGACACGGCCCAGACUCC